rnacentral:sRNA from 1 species
GGGCGCGGGGUUGCCCGGCGAGGGGUGGCAGGGACCCGGGCAAACUCCUGCUGCACUCCAGGUGGUCAUCAAGUAUGUGCCGUACGUGGGUGACAGCAAGCGCGCGCUGGAUGAGUAUACCUCGGAGCUGAUGCUGGGCGGAACCAACACACUGGUGCUGCACAACACGUGCGAGGUGCGGCGCGGCUUCAGGGGCUGCUAUGGGAGGCAGGGCUUGGCCACCGCCCCCAUCUCCUGACCCACCCGCCCCGCAGGACUCGCUGCUGGCCGCACCCAUCAUGCUGGACCUGGCGCUGCUGACCGAGCUGUGCCAGCGCGUGAGCUUCUGCACUGACAUGGACCCCGAGCCGCAGACCUUCCACCCCGUGCUGUCCCUGCUCAGCUUCCUCUUCAAGGCGCCACUAGUGCCGCCCGGCAGCCCGGUGGUCAAUGCGCUUUUCCGCCAGCGCAGCUGCAUCGAGAACAUCCUCAGGGCCUGCGUGGGGCUCCCGCCACAGAACCACAUGCUCCUGGAACACAAAAUGGAGCGCCCAGGGCCCAGCCUCAAGCGAGUUGGACCCGUGGCUGCCACCUACCCUGUGUUGAACAAGAAAGGACCGGUACCCGCUGCCACCAAUGGCUGCACCGGUGAUGCCAAUGGGCAUCUGCAAGAGGAGCCCCCAAUGCCCACCACCUGAGGCCCUGGUCACACAGUUUCUCGGCUCUUCCUCCCAGCUGCCCCCCACGACCCUACCUUGAAGGCCCCCACAAAUAAAGGCGCUGCCACUCAGCCCUC